AUUGAGAGCUUGCUUUUGAUUAUUUUAGCGGCGGACGGGUGAGAACGUGUGGGCAACUUACCUUUUACUGUGGAAUAAUCGUUGGAAACGACGACUAAUACCGCAUACGGUUCUUGGAAGGCAUCUUCUAAGAAAGAAAGGAGUAAUCCGGUAAAAGAUGGGCCCGCAUCUGAUUAGCUAGUUGGUGAGAUAAUAGCCCACCAAGGCAACGAUCAGUAGCCGACCUGAGAGGGUGACCGGCCACAUUGGGACUGAGACACGGCCCAAACUCCUACGGGAGGCAGCAGUGGGGAAUAUUGCACAAUGGGCGAAAGCCUGAUGCAGCAACGCCGCGUGAAGGAAGACGGUUUUCGGAUUGUAAACUUCUAUCAAUAGGGAAGAAAGAAAUGACGGUACCUAAAUAAGAAGCCCCGGCUAACUACGUGCCAGCAGCCGCGGUAAUACGUAGGGGGCAAGCGUUAUCCGGAAUUACUGGGUGUAAAGGGAGAGUAGGCGGCAAGGUAAGCGAUAUGUGAAAGCCUUAAGCUUAACUUAAGGAUGGCAUAACGAACUAUCUAGCUAGAGUACAGGAGAGGAAAGCGGAAUUCCUAGUGUAGCGGUGAAAUGCGUAGAUAUUAGGAAGAACACCAGUGGCGAAGGCGGCUUUCUGGACUGAAACUGACGCUGAGGCUCGAAAGCGUGGGGAGCGAACAGGAUUAGAUACCCUGGUAGUCCACGCUGUAAACGAUGAGUGCUAGGUGUCGGGGAGGAAUUCCCGGUGCCGGAGCAAACGCAAUAAGCACUCCACCUGGGGAGUACGACCGCAAGGUUGAAACUCAAAGGAAUUGACGGGGGCCCGCACAAGCGGUGGAGCAUGUGGUUUAAUUCGAAAGCACGCGAAGAACCUUACCAAGGCUUGACAUACCUU
rnacentral:rRNA from 1 species